AAGUACGCGGAUUUGCAAAAGAUGUGAAAUCUCGGGGCUCAACCCCGAAACUGCGUCUGAAACUGCCAGGCCUAGAAUCUUGGAGGGGGAAGGGGAAUUUCCCAGGUACGGUUAAAAUCCUUAAAUAUGCGAAGAAACACCAUAGGCAAAGGCACCUUCUGGAACAAGAAUGGACCCUAAGGCGCAAAACCUGGGGAAUCAACCAGGAUUAGAUACCCUGGUAGUCCACGCUGUAAACGAUGAAUACUAGGUAUUGGAGGAUUUGACCCCUACAGUGCCGUAGCUAACGGGUUAAGUAUUCCG
rnacentral:rRNA from 1 species